GAUGAACGCUAGCGGGAGGCUUAACACAUGCAAGUCGAGGGGUAACAUGAGGUAGCAAUACUUUGAUGACGACCGGCGCACGGGUGAGUAACGCGUAUGUAACCUACCUUGUACAGGGGGAUAGCCCGGAGAAAUUCGGAUUAAUACCCCAUAAUGAUAUCUGAAGGCAUCUUUAGGUAUUUAAAGUUUCGACGGUACGAGAUGGGCAUGCGUGACAUUAGCUAGUUGGUAAGGUAACGGCUUACCAAGGGUGCGAUGUCUAGGGGUCCUGCUAGGGUGAUCCCCCCCACUGCUACUCAGCCACGGACCAGAGUCCUCCGGGAGGAAGCAGUGCGGAAGAUUGGUCAAGGGGCGUAAGCCUGAACCAGCCAUCCCGCGUGAAGGAAGAAGGCGCUAUGCGUCGUAAACUUCUUUUCCGGAGGAAUAAAAUUUCGUACGUGUACGGGACUGAAGGUACUCCGGGAAUAAGCAGCGGCUAACUCCGUGCCAGCCGCCGCCGUAAUAC
rnacentral:rRNA from 1 species